GCAGGGACAUAUCCAUGAUUACGUACCGAAUAUUUUUGGUAUUUUAGGGGGCAAACAACAGCAUUUGGCACAGUUUAGAAAUAUGAUUCAGCUAGUCAACAUUCUAAGUCCAAGAGGGGUCCAUUGGCAUGAUUAUUUUUACAGAAAUCAAGGGGAGGAGUCAGGACUCCCCUGACAACCCCUUAAUCUGCCACUGGAAGGGUACAGAAAACUGUACAUGUACCAUCAGAUGUGCAAAGAGUCUUAGAUAAGAAGGACAGAAAAUAUGAGAACUUGAUAUCAAGGUUGCUGUUUCAGCAUGCUGCAGUUACUUGUGGAGAUGAAAUUCAGUUUUGUGGUUGGUUGAAGAAGACACACAGCGAGGAGAAAGCUUGGCAAAAAGUCACAGAAGUAAAGCAAGGGUUGUAAGCCCGGAGCACAGUGAACAGGUGUAUGCAGAUAAAAGAGUGAGUGCUGUUGUGGUGGCAACUCCAGCAGCAACUCACGAAGAAAUAAUACAGAAGUCUUUAAAAGCAGGCAAAGCUGUGUUUUGUGAGAAACCAAUAGAUGUUAGCUGGAAAGUUGUCCGACGGCUUUAUGACGAGGCAGAACAAGCUGGAAAACCUCUCCAGUGUGGCUUUAAUAGGAGGUAUGAUCCCCAGCUUCGACACCUCCAAAGAAGACUUCAAAGUGGUGAGAUAGGCAAGCCUAUGAUGGCCAAGACAUGCUCUAGAGAUGCCUGCCCGGACAUGGCGUCUGCAGCAGCAUAUUCUGCAGCGCAUGGUGGCUACUUCCUGGACAGUACUGUCCACGACAUAGAUGUGAUGUGUUGGCUGCUGGGAGAACACCCUAUCAGCGUCUCGUGUACUG